rnacentral:rRNA from 1 species
UACGAAGGGGGCGAGCGUUGUUCGGAAUUACUGGGCGUAAAGGGCGCGCAGGCGGCUCUGAAAGUCAGAUGUGAAAGCCCCGGGCUUAACCUGGGAACUGCAUUUGAUACUCUAGAGCUUGAGUACGGGAGAGGAGAGUGGAAUUCCCAGUGUAGAGGUGAAAUUCGUAGAUAUUCGCAAGAACACCAGUGGCGAAGGCGGCUCACUGGCCCGAUACUGACGCUGAUGCACGAAAGCGUGGGGAGCAAACAGG